rnacentral:rRNA from 1 species
UACGAAGGGGGCUAGCGUUGCUCGGAAUCACUGGGCGUAAAGCGCACGUAGGUGGGUCGCUGAGUCGGGGGUGAAAUCCUGGAGCUCAACUCCAGAACUGCCUUCGAUACUGGCGAUCUUCGAGUCCGGGAGAGGUGGGUGGAACUGCGAGUGUAGAGGUGAAAUUCGUAGAUAUUCGCAAGAACACCAGUGGCGAAGGCGGCUCACUGGCCCGGGUACU